rnacentral:rRNA from 1 species
GAUCAUGGCUCAGGACGAACGCUGGCGGCGUGCCUAACACAUGCAAGUCGAACGGACGAGGAGAAGCUUGCUUCUCCAAGUUAGUGGCGGACGGGCGAGUAACGCGUGAGCAACCUGCCCUUCAGUGGGGAACAACGGCUGGAAACGGCCGCUAAUACCGCAUAAUGUGUGGAAACCGCAUGGAGACCACACCAAAGGAGCAAUUCGCUGAAGGAUGGGCUCGCGUCCGAUUAGCUAGUUGG